UACGUAGGGUGCAAGCGUUAAUCGGAAUUACUGGGCGUAAAGCGUGCGCAGGCGGUGAUGUAAGACAGGUGUGAAAUCCCCGGGCUUAACCUGGGAACUGCAUUUGUGACUGCAUCGCUGGAGUGCGGCAGAGGGGGAUGGAAUUCCUCGUGUAGCAGUGAAAUGCGUAGAUAUGCGGAGGAACACCGAUGGCGAAGGCAAGCCCCUGGGCCUGCACUGACGCUCAUGCACGAAAGCGUGGGGAGCAAACAGG
rnacentral:rRNA from 1 species